rnacentral:rRNA from 1 species
GUUCAAGCCGCCGCGGUAAUACGGAGGGUGCGAGCGUUGUCCGGAAUCACUGGGCGUAAAGGGCGCGUAGGUGGUUCGGUAAGUUGCUGGUGAAAUCCCGGGGCUCAACUCCGGGGCUGCCGGCAAGACUGUCGGACUUGAGCACGGUAGGGGCAGAUGGAAUUCCCGGUGUAGCGGUGGAAUGCGUAGAUAUCGGGAAGAAUACCAGUGGCGAAGGCGUUCUGCUGGGCCGUUGCUGACACUGAGGCGCGACAGCGUGGGGAGCAAACAGGAUUAGAUACCCCAGUAGUCC